rnacentral:rRNA from 1 species
CCUACGGGUGGCAGCAGUGGGGAAUAUUGCACAAUGGGGGAAACCCUGAUGCAGCGACGCCGCGUGAGGGAAGAAGGAUUUCGGUAUGUAAAGCUCUAUCUGCAGGGAAGAAAAUGACGGUACCUGAUUAAGAAGCACCGGCUAACUCCGUGCCAGCAGCCGCGGUAAUACGUAGGGAGCAAGCGUUAUCCGGAUUUACUGGGUGUAAAGGGAGCGUAGGCGGCAGCACAAGUCAGGAGUGAAAUGCCGGGGCUUAACCACGGAACUGCUUUUGAAACUGUGCAGCUAGAGUGUAGGAGAGGUAAGUGGAAUUCCUGGUGUAGCGGUGAAAUGCGUAGAUAUUAGGAGGAACACCAAUUGCGAAGGCGGCUUACUAGACUGUAACUGACGUUGAUGCUCGAAAGCGUGGGGAGCAAACAGGAUUAGAUACCCCUGUAGUC